GGCCUGAAUAAACUGCUGAAGGAAGAGCUGUGUGUUGUGUCUCCUUGCUGGUGAGGUCGUGUGCAACAAGUGCCCUUUAAUUAACUGCUC